rfam:Triticum aestivum genome assembly, contig: Triticum_aestivum_CS42_TGACv1_scaffold_225384_3B
UUUGUACUCCCUCCGUCCCAAAAUUCUUGUCUUAAAUUUUCCUAAGUACGGAUGUAUAUAGUUACAUUUUAGUGUUAGAUACAUCUGUAUCUAAACAAAUGUAAGACAAGAAUUUUGGGACGGAGGGAGUACUAC